rnacentral:lncRNA from 1 species
UGCUCUUAGGUGUGUAGGCACUCCUGGUGACUGUCUUUCAGCUCUUGGCACAGGCAGGGAUCGGAAGGGUCCUGCCACUGACUGUUCUUAGGUUCUUGCAGCCAUCGGGCAAACCUGGCACUAGGUGAUUCACUGUUGAGUUGGGAAUGUGGGCAGAGGGUAGUUUCCUUUGAUUUCUCAGGAAUGUCUGCACUUCUGAAGGUCCAGCUCUCUCCUUCAUGGAAUUUGGGUACAGGGAGCUGUUUAACUUGUUCAGUUCAGUUUUGGGCACAGACCAGAACUGCGGGUAUUGGCAGCUGACUUUUCCUACAUUCCUGUGUCCAGAGGAACUAUGAACUAUGCAUUUUCCUCUUCAACAAAGAAUGUGGGCAAAGGUGGGAAGAAGUUGCAGUCUAUCCUGCACUCUUAGGAUGGUCAGCACUUCUGGGUGUUCAACUCCCUUCCCCAUGGGAUUUGGGUGCAGGGUGUCUAUUUCCUUUAAACUGAUCCCUGUCAAAUCAUUCAAAAUACCAUCCCAUAAAACACAAAAUGUAUUUAUUGUGUUUCUUAUCUUUACAUAUUAAAAAACUUAUAUAUCUCUUUUUAUUAUCAAUGUAUUACCUGAUCCAGAGCCCUUUACACCUUUUUUUUUUUUCCCUCUGCUCUUCAAUUCAUAACAUUUCAGUCCUCUCUGAUUCUCUUAUUUACAGGCAUGGCAGACUGUAGAAAGACUCCUGCUUCUGUACUUCAGCAGGGUUAGAGCUGGAAGCCUG